GGGGACGACCUGGCUUCGACGUGGGUUACAAAACUUAAGGUGCAUGUCGAGUAUGUUGGUUCUUCUCGUAAAACAGACUGACAAAAUGAUAGUUGCAAACGAUAACAACUACGCCCUA
rnacentral:tmRNA from 1 species